CCCGUGCUACAACCGCGCAGAUCAGGUUACAAGCCCUAGUGCGCCUGUGAUGGCGAGUCUGAGUUUAAGA
rfam:Terribacillus aidingensis strain MP602, complete genome.